AUCUCUGUAGAGUCUGCAUAUCAAUAAGCGGAGGAAAAGAAACUAACAAGGAUUCCCUUAGUAACGGCGAGUGAAGCGGGAAGAGCUCAAAUUUGAAAUCUUCAAGGUUCUACCUUGACGAAUUGUAGUUUAAAGAAGUGUUUUCUGUUAGAUGAGUAGCAAAAGUUCCUUGGAAUGGGACAUCAUAGAGGGUGAGAAUCCCGUAUUUGGUUAUUCAUUCUAGCUUUGUGAUACACUUUCAAAGAGUCGGAUUGUUUGGGAAUGCAGUCCAAAAUGGGUGGUAAAUUUCAUCUAAAGCUAAAUAUUGGCGAGAGACCGAUAGCGAACAAGUACCGUGAGGGAAAGAUGAAAAGAACUUUGAAAAGAGAGUUAAACAGUACGUGAAAUUGUCAAAAGGGAAGGCGUUUGACACCAGUGUUGUUUUUCCGAAAAUCAAUUACGAAUGGCUUGAUUCUGUGUUGUAUUGACCUUAUCAGCCUUCUUCACUUUUUUCGAGUCUUUCUUAAUGCACUUUUCGGUUAACAAGUCAACAUCAAUUUCUUUUGUUGUAAAAGAGUAUUCGGAAGGUGGCUUUCUUUUCGGAGAAAGUGUUUAUAGCCCUAUACUUCUACAAUCGGAGAGAUUGAGGUCUGCAGCGUAGAUCCUUCGGGGUUAGAUACACUUUGUGCUAAGUUGUAGCUUUUCAUAGACAACCUGUUGACUAUGUUUAGUCAUGCGGCUUACUCGCUUAUGCUAUUUUACCUACGCUUAGGAUGUUGAAGAUGUAGCACAUCAU
rnacentral:rRNA from 1 species